UACGAAGGGGGCUAGCGUUGUCCGGAAUUAUUGGGCGUAAAGAGCUCGUAGGCGGCUUGUCACGUCGGGUGUGAAAGCCCGGGGCUUAACCCCGGGUCUGCAUUCGAUACGGGCAGGCUAGAGUGUGGUAGGGGAGAUCGGAAUUCCUGGUGUAGCGGUGAAAUGCGCAGAUAUCAGGAGGAACACCGGUGGCGAAGGCGGAUCUCUGGGCCAUUACUGACGCUGAGGAGCGAAAGCGUGGGGAGCGAACAGG
rnacentral:rRNA from 1 species